UGUGAGGGCAAUCUUAUUGUGACAUCUGUCACCCUAUUGAUCACCAGGAUUGAUUUGGUUGAUUGGUUGGCUGAGUGGUUGUCCCUUUCCUUUCUCACCACUACUUGUGUAUCUUUUUUAAAAUGUAGCUCAGCCAAAGAGGAUGAUCUUCCUGGAUAAAGGAGGACUGUUCUUUCUUUCU
rnacentral:snRNA from 1 species